AACUGAUACUACCUGCGGGAACCUGCGGAGGGAUCAUCACUAAUUGGAAGUUGAUUCUUUUCCGAAUCUUCUUCUUUAUGAUCUGUGCAAUGUGGACCAACAUGUCGUGGUCUUUGACUUGCGGUUAUAAAUAUCCUUUGAAAAAAGGUAACCGCAAAGGUUCUUUUGAACCAACUUUUUAUAUAUUUCUUUCUGAACUUUUUUUAAAAAAAGGGUGUUUUGGUCUUAAUUGACUUGCCU
rnacentral:misc_RNA from 1 species